GAUGAACGCUGGCGGCGUGCCUAAUACAUGCAAGUCGAGCGAACAGAUGAGGAGCUUGCUCCUCUGACGUUAGCGGCGGACGGGUGAGUAACACGUGGAUAACCUACCUAUAAGACUGGGAUAACUUCGGGAAACCGGAGCUAAUACCGGAUAAUAUAUUGAACCGCAUGGUUCAAUAGUGAAAGACGGUUUUGCUGUCACUUCUAGAUGGAUCCCGGCCGCAUUAGCUAGUUGGUAAGGUAACGGCUUACCAAGGCAACGAGGCGUAGCCGACCUGAGAGGGUGAUAGGCGACACUGGAACUGAGACACGGUCCAGACUCCUACGGGAGGCAGCAGUAGGGAAUCUUCCGCAAUGGGCGAAAGCCUGACGGAGCAACGCCGCGUGAGUGAUAAAGGUCUUCGGAUCGUAAAACUCUGUUAUUAGGGAAGAACAAAUGUGUAAGUAACUAUGCACGUCUUGACGGUACCUAAUCAGAAAGCCACGGCUAACUACGUG
rnacentral:rRNA from 1 species